rnacentral:rRNA from 1 species
UACGUAGGGCGCAAGCGUUGUCCGGAAUUAUUGGGCGUAAAGAGCUCGUAGGCGGCUUGUCACGUCGGGUGUGAAAGCCCGGGGCUUAACCCCGGGUCUGCAUUCGAUACGGGCUAGCUAGAGUGUGGUAGGGGAGAUCGGAAUUCCGUGGUGAGCGGUGAAAUGCGCAGAUAUCAGGAGGAACACCGGUGGCGAAGGCGGAUCUCUGGGCCAUUACUGACGCUGAGGAGCGAAAGCGUGGGGAGCGAACAGG